UACAACUGAUAUGAUAUUGCUCAAAUGAGUGGGUAACGCCACGAAGGGGCACACGUAAACUGCCUAUGGCGUGAGUAGUUGUGUAAGGCGAAAGGGUCAUAAAGCUAGGCUGGAGAGCAAAAAGCCAACCCAAACAGGUAAAGCUGUGGAAAGGUUUGUAGAGGUACAGGCUGUUGGUGAUUAUGUAGUGGGCUGUAUA
rfam:Clostridium sp. C105KSO13 isolate C105KSO131 genome assembly, contig: {contig162}